rnacentral:rRNA from 1 species
UGGGGAAUUUUGGACAAUGGGCGAAAGCCUGAUCCAGCAAUGCCGCGUGUGUGAAGAAGGCCUUCGGGUUGUAAAGCACUUUUGUCCGGAAAGAAAUCCUUGGCUCUAAUACAGUCGGGGGAUGACGGUACCGGAAGAAUAAGCACCGGCUAACUACGUGCCAGCAGCCGCGGUAAUACGUAGGGUGCAAGCGUUAAUCGGAAUUACUGGGCGUAAAGCGUGCGCAGGCGGUUUGCUAAGACCGAUGUGAAAUCCCCGGGCUCAACCUGGGAACUGCAUUGGUGACUGGCAGGCUAGAGUAUGGCAGAGGGGGGUAGAAUUCCACGUGUAGCAGUGAAAUGCGUAGAGAUGUGGAGGAAUACCGAUGGCGAAGGCAGCCCCCUGGGCCAAUACUGACGCUCAUGCACGAAAGCGUGGGGAGCAAACAGGAUUAGAUACCCUGGUAGUCCACGCCCUAAACGAUGUCAACUAGUUGUUGGGGAAUUCAUUUCCUUAGUAACGUAGCUAACGCGUGAAGUUGACCGCCUGGGGAGUACGGUCGCAAGAUUAAAACUCAAAUGAAUUGACGGGGUCAUAGCUGUUUCCU